rnacentral:rRNA from 1 species
CCUACGGGAGGCAGCAGUGGGGAAUUUUGGACAAUGGGCGCAAGCCUGAUCCAGCAAUGCCGCGUGAGUGAAGAAGGCCUUCGGGUUGUAAAGCUCUUUUGUCAGGGAAGAAACGGUGGGAGCUAAUAUCUCCUGCUAAUGACGGUACCUGAAGAAUAAGCACCGGCUAACUACGUGCCAGCAGCCGCGGUAAUACGUAGGGUGCAAGCGUUAAUCGGAAUUACUGGGCGUAAAGCGUGCGCAGGCGGUUUUGUAAGACUGUCGUGAAAUCCCCGGGCUCAACCUGGGAAUGGCGAUGGUGACUGCAAGGCUAGAGUUUGGCAGAGGGGGGUAGAAUUCCACGUGUAGCAGUGAAAUGCGUAGAUAUGUGGAGGAACACCGAUGGCGAAGGCAGCCCCCUGGGUCAAAACUGACGCUCAUGCACGAAAGCGUGGGGAGCAAACAGGAUUAGAUACCCUGGUAGUCCACGCCCUAAACGAUGUCUGCUAGUUGUCGGGUCUUAAUUGACUUGGUAACGCAGCUAACGCGUGAAGUAGACCGCCUGGGGAGUCGGUCGCAAGAUUAAAACUCAAAUGAAUUGACCGG